GUGCCAGCCGCCGCGGUAAUACGGAGGAUGCAAGCGUUAUCCGGAUUUAUUGGGUUUAAAGGGUGCGUAGGCGGAGCUUUAAGUCAGCGGUGAAAUAUGUCGGCUUAACCGGCAGGCUGCCGUUGAUACUGAAGUUCUGGAGUCCGAACGGCGCCGGCGGAAUAUGUCAUGUAGCGGUGAAAUGCAUAGAUAUGACAUAGAACACCGAUCGCGAAGGCAGCUGGCGAGGACGAGACUGACGCUGAGGCACGAAAGCGUGGGGAUCAAACAGGAUUAGAUACCCUGGUUAGUCCACGCAGUUUACGAUGAUAACUUGUUGUCGGCGAUAUAGUGUCGGUGACAAAGCGAAAGCGAUACGUUAUCCACCUGNGGAGUACGAUCGCAAGGUUGACACUCAAAGGAAUUGACGGGGGCCCGCACAAGCGGAGGAGCAUGUGGUUUAAUUUCGAUGAUACGCGAGGAACCUUACCUAGACUCAAAUGUUGGAUGACCGGUCCAGAAAUGGACCAUUCCUUCGGGACAUCCAGCAAGGUGCUGCAUGGUUGUCGUCAGCUCGUGCCGUGAGGUGUCAGGUUAAGUCCUAUAACGAGCGCAACCCCUACGUCCAGUUGCCAGCGGGUAAGGCCGGGGACUUCUGGAGGGACUGCCGGCGCAAGCCGAGAGGAAGGUGGGGAUGACGUCAAAUCAGCACGGCCCUUACGUCUAGGGCGACACACGUGCUACAAUGGCCGGUACAGAGGGCAGCUACCUGGUGACAGGAUGCGAAUCUCGAAAGCCGGUCUCAGUUCGGAUCGGAGUCUGCAACCCGACUCCGUGAAGUUGGAUUCGCUAGUAAUCGCGCAUCAGCCAUGGCGCGGUGAAUACGUUCCCGGGCCUUGUACACACCGCCCGU
rnacentral:rRNA from 1 species